rnacentral:other from 1 species
UAAUACCUGGGGUGAGCGUCAGUCAGUUGCUCCUCUGCCGAUACUACAGUAUAAGGGUUAUACUUUAUUGCUAUUGAGCAAGCUCAGCACGUACUGAGAAGCCUACGGUAACUAAAUUUAUAGCCCGCCUUGAACUUUUCGGUUCAAGGGAAAAACUUGACAGCGCCACCCUGGGUUCUCU